rnacentral:piRNA from 1 species
UUCGGGCUCGCAGGAGCAGCGGCU